rnacentral:rRNA from 1 species
UGCGUAGGCGGAAUAAUAAGUCAGUGGUGAAAUCCUGCGGCUCAACCGUAGAACUGCCAUUGAUACUGUUAUUCUUGAAUGUAGUUGAGGUAGGCGGAAUGUGUAAUGUAGCGGUGAAAUGCUUAGAUAUUACACAGAACACCGAUUGCGAAGGCAGCUUGCUAAACUAUGAUUGACGCUGAUGCACGAAAGCGUGGGGAGCGAACAGGAUUAGAUACCCUGGUAGUCC